GACGAACGCUGGCGGCGUGCCUAAUACAUGCAAGUAGAACGCACAGUUUAUACCGUAGCUUGCUACACCAUAGACUGUGAGUUGCGAACGGGUGAGUAACGCGUAGGUAACCUGCCUGGUAGCGGGGGAUAACUAUUGGAAACGAUAGCUAAUACCGCAUAAUAUUAAUUAUUGCAUGAUAAUUAAUUGAAAGGUGCAAUUGCACCACUACCAGAUGGACCUGCGUUGUAUUAGCUAGUAGGUGAGGUAACGGCUCACCUAGGCGACGAUACAUAGCCGACCUGAGAGGGUGAUCGGCCACACUGGGACUGAGACACGGCCCAGACUCCUACGGGAGGCAGCAGUAGGGAAUCUUCGGCAAUGGACGAAAGUCUGACCGAGCAACGCCGCGUGAGUGAAGAAGGUUUUCGGAUCGUAAAGCUCUGUUGUAAGAGAAGAACGGGUGUGAGAGUGGAAAGUUCACACUGUGACGGUAUCUACCA
rnacentral:rRNA from 1 species